rnacentral:rRNA from 1 species
AUUGAACGCUGGCGGCAUGCCUUACACAUGCAAGUCGAACGGCAGCGCGGGAGCAAUCCUGGCGGCGAGUGGCGAACGGGUGAGUAAUAUAUCGGAACGUGCCCUGUAGCGGGGGAUAACCUAUCGAAAGAUGGACUAAUACCGCAUACGCCCUACGGAGGAAAGACGGGGGUCGCAAGACCUCGCACUAUAGGAGCGGCCGAUAUCGGAUUAGCUAGUUGGCGGGGUAAAAGCCCACCAAGGCGACGAUCCGUAGCUGGUCUGAGAGGAUGAUCAGCCACACUGGAACUGAGACACGGUCCAGACUCCUACGGGAGGCAGCAGUGGGGAAUUUUGGACAAUGGGCGCAAGCCUGAUCCAGCCAUGCCGCGUGAGUGAAGAAGGCC